rnacentral:lncRNA from 1 species
GCAUCUUGUAAAUACCCUCCUCUGUCCAUUCCGUUCUGAAAUGCUGCAGACUCAAGACUCUUCUUUUCAUUAAGACCUGAGUGAGACCACAGAUCCUAAACCAGCAUCUUGAUUACAGUUUCCUGGGAGACAGUGAAGCAGAGGACCUAGCUACAGCAUAGCUGGAUUGUUGACCCAUAGAAACUGUAAUUCCAUGGAAGUGCUGAGGACAGGAGAGCCACGCUGGAGAGAAAGUUUGCUAAAGCACAGAAGAGGAUGCUAAGGAAACUUCUCCAGCUUUGCUGCCUGCUCUGAGCUCCGGAAGAAACUCCCAUAGCCAGUGCAGACGCUGAUACAAGAAGGGGCUCAAUUUUCAAAUAACAAGAGCCUUCGAAAGGUGGACAUAUGCUUUCUUUUACCAAAUCAUCCCCUCCAAAUUGAAUUAUCUUGUGAAUUUAUCAGACUAGUAAAGCCAAC